UGAGAGCCGCAGCGCGACUCUCUCCAAGGGCCCGAUGUAAAGACAAAUGAAUCUGGAAAAUGUGUUACGGCGUUAAGUUGAGGACAUUUCUCUCCAGAGUCAACUUCGCUUCUGGAACAGAUCACGUCAGCAUCACGUCGGGCUUCAGCACGAGAGUGUGAGAGGGGGUCUGUUUCUGUCUUUGGUUAUCUAGCUGUAUGAGUUUUAAUUACCUAAAGCUAGAUAACCGAAAGUAGAAAUGACUUCCGUAACGUUGUGUUCCUUCCACGAUGGAGGAUCCUCAAGCUUUUACCCCAAAAAGGAUUCAGAAUGUGGGCUCCUCGUACAAAGGGGCCUCAGUCCUGUAGGGCGGUUCGGGUGCUGUCCAUUCAGGUCCACUGCUACAUGGUGCUGCAUGUUAAGCAGGUCGCUCCGGUGGAGGAGGACAGCACCGACUGAAACAAGAACUCCCAACUUUCUCCAUUUCAAGAAUUAUAUUUCAUUCUGUGAGAAGAAAUGAAAAUAAUCUAAUAAUACAUGCAGGGAGGUAAUAUUAUGUCACAAUAGGUUUUUUCUUCACAGCAGACAUUUUGACAGGAAAGGCACAGGUGUUACCAACAACACGAACAAUGGCUCUGUUCUUCUUCUACCUAAGUCAUGACAGUGUGACAGCGAGCCGUCAUGCACAAGACCAUGACCCUGAAAGUGAGGCAGCUAAAUGGAAUUCAGCCAUCUUCAAUUGUGUUAUAUUCGCCUGCGUUUUCCCCACCGUGACAUGUGACACGUAUCUUCUGUGAAAAAAGGCCCAUCGCACCUCAGAGUGUUUAAUAUGAUCCCUCAUGGAAGUGAAACACCCAGGGAAGCUGGAGUCCUCCAGCAUUUCUCUCUGGGAUCCCCGGAGGCUCCUGCUUCGGGGCGCACUGGCUUCCGACUAACGACAUUAAAUGACCGGGAUCGCUGAACAGAACCAUCAUUAAAGAAAAUGAGUUGGUCCGGAAUUGCCACCUCCUCCUCCUCCUCCUCCUCUCCCCUGCCCCCUCUUUGCCCAAGAGCCUCUAAUGCCAUCUGUGCUGCCAACGGGGGGACACUGUGCCCGUGCCAGGAGGCGGACAAAGACCCUUCCGGAUCCCUGGAGUAUGGGCGCGCUCACAGGAGCCAUCUUGGGGAGAUGUUGCCGCGACACCUAAAAUGGCUGGGCUGGCACACGAGGAUGGGACAGGACCUGCACGCCUUUCUGCUCUCUGGAGGAGAUCAGGGACCAAACUCAACGAUAUGUUGUCAUCAGAAACUCUCCCCACGACAUGAAUUCAAGAGAUUACCAGUCUCCCUCCCGAGAAGAGUCGCGCUGCGUUUUAAAGGACUGUAGAAACAAAAGAGCCAUUCUCUAAGCCUGAAAUGUUUAACUCAAGUCUGUUAUUCAUGAAAGUUUAUUCCAAGAUACUGUAUUAUUUAUGAAGUAUGUGCAAUUUGGCAUGUUUAUGUUUCUACUUAUUUCUCUCUUAAUACAUUAAGUGCAUUUUCAUAAUGCAUGUUUCAAUUCAUCAUUUAUUAAAUCUUUGUGCUCAUAUGAAAUAGUCAUUCAUAAAAUUGAAGUGCAUUACUAAACAAGUUGAUUUGUUUUAAGGUGACUGAUGACAAUGAAAUAAAAAUAAUGGAAAUAUUA